rnacentral:rRNA from 1 species
UACGUAGGGUGUAAGCGUUGUCCGGAAUUAUUGGGCGUAAAGAGCUCGUAGGCGGUCUGUCACGUCGGCUGUGAAAACCCGAGGCUCAACCUCGGGCCUGCAGUCGAUACGGGCAAACUAGAGUACUGCAGGGGAGACUGGAAUUCCUGGUGUAGCGGUGAAAUGCGCAGAUAUCAGGAGGAACACCGAUGGCGAAGGCGGGUCUCUGGGCCGAUACUGACGCUGAGGAGCGAAAGCGUGGGGAGCAAACAGG